rnacentral:rRNA from 1 species
AGAGUUUGAUCCUGGCUCAGGAUGAACGCUGGCGGCGUGCUUAACACAUGCAAGUCGAACGAACCUUCGGGUUAGUGGCGGACGGGUGAGUAACGCGUGGGAAUCUGCCCUCAGGAGGGGGAUAACGGCUGGAAACGGCCGCUAAUACCCCAUAUGCCGAGAGGUGAAAUGAAUUUCGCCUGAGGAUGAGCCCGCGUCUGAUUAGCUUGUUGGUGAGGUAAUGGCUCACCAAGGCUUCGAUCAGUAGCUGGUCUGAGAGGAUGAUCAGCCACACUGGGACUGAGACACGGCCCAGACUCCUACGGGAGGCAGCAGUGGGGAAUUUUCCGCAAUGGGCGAAAGCCUGACGGAGCAACGCCGCGUGAGGGAUGAAGGCCUCUGGGCUGUAAACCUCUUUUCUCAAGGAAGAAGAUCUGACGGUACUUGAGGAAUAAGCCACGGCUAAUUCCGUGCCAGCAGCCGCGGUAAUACGGGAGUGGCAAGCGUUAUCCGGAAUUAUUGGGCGUAAAGCGUCCGCAGGCGGCCCUUCAAGUCUGCUGUUAAAGCGUGGAGCUUAACUCCAUCAUGGCAGUGGAAACUGUUGGGCUUGAGUGUGGUAGGGGCAGAGGGAAUUCCCGGUGUAGCGGUGAAAUGCGUAGAUAUCGGGAAGAACACCAGUGGCGAAGGCGCUCUGCUGGGCCAUCACUGACGCUCAUGGACGAAAGCCAGGGGAGCGAAAGGGAUUAGAUACCCCUGUAGUCCUGGCCGUAAACGAUGAACACUAGGUGUCGGGGGAAUCGACCCCCUCGGUGUCGUAGCCAACGCGUUAAGUGUUCCGCCUGGGGAGUACGCACGCAAGUGUGAAACUCAAAGGAAUUGACGGGGGCCCGCACAAGCGGUGGAGUAUGUGGUUUAAUUCGAUGCAACGCGAAGAACCUUACCAGGGUUUGACAUCCUGCGAACCUCUUGGAAACAGGAGGGUGCCUUCGGGAACGCAGUGACAGGUGGUGCAUGGCUGUCGUCAGCUCGUGUCGUGAGAUGUUGGGUUAAGUCCCGCAACGAGCGCAACCCACGUCUUUAGUUGCCAGCAUUUAGUUGGGCACUCUAGAGAGACCGCCGGUGAUAAACCGGAGGAAGGUGUGGAUGACGUCAAGUCAUCAUGCCCCUUACAUCCUGGGCUACACACGUACUACAAUGCUACGGACAGAGGGCAGCAAGUUCGCGAGGACAAGCAAAUCCCAUAAACCGUGGCUCAGUUCAGAUCGUAGGCUGCAACUCGCCUACGUGAAGGAGGAAUCGCUAGUAAUCGCAGGUCAGCAUACUGCGGUGAAUACGUUCCCGGGCCUUGUACACACCGCCCGUCACACCAUGGAAGUUGGCCACGCCCGAAGCCGUUACUCCAACCCUCGGGAGGAGGACGUCGAAGGUGGGGCUGAUGACUGGGGUGAAGUCGUAACAAGGUAACC